AUUUUCUCAAUGAUUUCGACAAACCCUCUUGUUGAUGCUGAAAGAUUUGAGGCAUCAACAACAAUAGGCCACCAUAAGGCGUUAUUUAGUCAAGCACUACCACAUUCAAAAAUAUGAAAAUGUGCAUAACAUGUUCAGCAAAACUCCUGUAAAUAUGAGAUCUCCUGCCUUAGUGAAGCAAUAUUGACAUCCUUCUCAUCUCAAUCUCUAAAUUUCAAGAUUUGAUUGUAUUUUACAUGAGGAUUUCAUUGAUUAAAAUUAAAAUUCAGAACAAUUUAAUCUUUCAUGUCUUUCAUAAAGCUCCUAUAAAAAGUUCUUACAGAAAGAAAAUAUUUCUCAUUUAGUCACUUCCCAAUCCAGUAUGUCACGGAUCCAGGCAAAAUCAUCCCCUGGAGUAGGAUUACUUGAGCUUGAUGAAUCUACAUUCAAAAAUGCAUUAAUAUCAUUCUCAUCUUGAUUAGUGGACGUAGCAGAAGUAGUUGGGCCCACACCCAUCACUGUCGACGACGAUGAUGCUAAAGACAUGGGCCCAGAGCAUGUGGAGGUUAUUGGAGCAGCAGCAUUACUGAUAUUGUUGCGGCAUAAUCUCCUAACAGACUCACCAAUUUCAGACUUCCACAUUAUGGUGGGAUUUGGUGGGCCUUUUCCAGACUCCUGCUUCGCUUCUUCA